AACGAACGCUGGCGGCAUGCCUAACACAUGCAAGUCGAACGAGACCUUCGGGUCUAGUGGCGCACGGGUGUGUAACGCGUGGGAAUCUGCCCUUGGGUUCGGAAUAACAGUUGGAAACGACUGCUAAUACCGGAUGAUGACGUAAGUCCAAAGAUUUAUCGCCCAAGGAUGAGCCCGCGUAGGAUUAGCUAGUUGGUGAGGUAAAGGCUCACCAAGGCGACGAUCCUUAGCUGGUCUGAGAGGAUGAUCAGCCACACUGGGACUGAGACACGGCCCAGACUCCUACGGGAGGCAGCAGUGGGGAAUAUUGGACAAUGGGCGAAAGCCUGAUGCAGCAAGGCCGCGUGAGUGAUGAAGGCCUUAGGGUAGUAAAGCUCUUUUACCCGGGAUGAUAAUGACAGUACCGGGAGAAUAAGCUCCGGCUAACUCCGUG
rnacentral:rRNA from 1 species